rnacentral:rRNA from 1 species
ACUCAAAUGAAUUGACGGGGGCCCGCACAAGCGGUGGAGCAUGUGGUUUAAUUCGACGCAACGCGAAGAACCUUACCUAGACUCGAACGGCUUUGGACCGCUCUAGAAAUAGAGUUUUCCCGCAAGGGACUGAAGUCGAGGUGCUGCAUGGCUGUCGUCAGCUCGUGUCGUGAGAUGUUGGGUUAAGUCCCGCAACGAGCGCAACCCUUGUCCUGUGUUGCUAAUCCGCAAGGAUGCACUCUCAGGAGACCGCCAGCGAUAAGUUGGAGGAAGGUGGGGAUGACGUCAAGUCAUCAUGGCCUUUAUGCCUAGGGCUACACACGUGCUACAAUGGACGGUACAAACCGUUGCAAACCCGCGAGGGGGAGCUAAUCGGAAAAAACCGUUCUCAGUUCGGAUUGCAGGCUGCAACUCGCCUGCAUGAAGCUGGAAUCGCUAGUAAUGGUAUAUCAGAACGAUACCGUGAAUACGUUCCCGGGCCUUGCACACACCGCCCGU